UACGUAGGGUGCAAGCGUUAAUCGGAAUUACUGGGCGUAAAGCGUGCGCAGGCGGUCUUGCAAGACAGAUGUGAAAUCCCCGGGCUUAACCUGGGAACUGCAUUUGUGACUGCAAGGCUGGAGUACGGCAGAGGGGGAUGGAAUUCCGCGUGUAGCAGUGAAAUGCGUAGAUAUGCGGAGGAACACCGAUGGCGAAGGCAAUCCCCUGGGCCUGUACUGACGCUCAGGCACGAAAGCGUGGGGAUCAAACAGG
rnacentral:rRNA from 1 species